rnacentral:tRNA from 1 species
GGGGGAGUGGCUCAGUGGCAGAGUGCUUGCCUAGUGUGCAUGAAGCCCUGGGUUCAAUCCUCAGCACCA